rnacentral:lncRNA from 1 species
AUGAAUUUUGAGAGUUCUUAUUUAUUCCAGAUAUAUAAGAUUUUUUUAACUAUUUUGUCUCAGAGAGUGGCUGGUUUUCUCAAUGUUUUUCAACUGAAAGUGAAUUCAACAAUAUCUGUGAAGAAACAGCAGUUUUUAAUUUUGAUGGAGUCUGAUUUAACAUUUUUUAAAAUUUUAUUUUGUUUUAUUUUCUUUUUUUAUUAUACUUUAAGUUCUAGGGUACAUGUGCAUAACAUGCAGGUUUGUUACAUACGUAUACUUGUAUACUUGUGCCAUGUUGGUGUGCUACACCCAUCAACUCGUCAUUUACAUCAGAUGGAUGCAUUAGAUUCACUUCUGCCAAGUAAUGAGAAGAGCUUCACUGGAGAUAUGCGGAAAAUGUUUUCCUUGUUUUUGAAAAUGAUGAAUAGGAGGAAAACACAGCUUCUGGAUCUGGAUAUUUUCUUCUUAUCUGCAUGUGACACCUAGAAAUGUGGUAGUCACCUUUGGAUCAAAAGGGGAGUAGGCCUAAGAGGAUAAGUCAAUCCCUGUAAAUGGCUAAGCAAAGAUAGAAGAAACUUGAGAACUUGAUAAUAUUGUUGAGAGGUUCUCGUUAGGGAAAGACCACCCAAUCUCCAUAUUUUUUUGCCCCCUUUAAUCCCCUUUUUAUAGCAUUUUCUUUGCAUCCAAAAUUAUCCUACCUGGUGCAAUAGAUAAUUCAUAGAGCAUAGUAAAUUUAAAAAUGCUACUUCUCUUGAUUGGAAAGCAAAAUGUGAAAGAAGAAAACAGGAAGAUAAGUAUUAAUUAGAUUAAAAGUGAUUUGUUUAAAAUAAUUGUGUGUGUAUAAAACAGGAAAAAAAUUCCCAUUAAUCAUUUAUUGACUUCAAAUGCUAUGUGAUUUAUUUUAAUUUUUUUGAAUUUUGAAAUUUUUCUUAUGUCUAAAAGAUGUGAUCAUUGUCUUUUUGACAGAAACAAGGUGGACCUUGUAAAAUACCAGUUUUAAAUUCAAAUUAAAGACUUUCAUUUGUCAACACAAUAUUGCUACUGUUGAUUAUUUUGAGGAGAGAUAAAUUUAGGGAGAAAUGCG